GUGUAUGGCCAUGUCAUGUUGAAUGUAAUGGCUCUUGUUCAGUAACCAAAGUUAAGCAACAUCAAGUCUAGUAAAUAAUAUUUAGAUAGGUGACUGCUUGAUAAUCCUAGAUGCUGUGGGUC
rnacentral:rRNA from 1 species